CAACAAAAUUCAUCUAUUCACGACGAAAGCGAACUGAAUGCUUCGUCACGCUUCAUGCAAACUUUCAAGCGAAUGUGAUCGUAAAUGCCCACGCUCACUUUUUUGAAUAUUUGGAAAUUAAACGAGACUUACCUGUAAGUCGAAGUUUGAUUGUAAUUCUAUAAGUCAUUAGCGAGGAGUGGAGGAGUUGUAGGAGAGACAGUACCGCGCAUGAGUUAACCAGUAUUUAGAGCAUUAAUAUUGGUACAAUGCCUGGAGUGGAGGAGGUAAUCGGGCCUGGGUGUAAUUUCACGGGUGGGCCUACAACUCCUCCACUCCUCGCUAAUGACUUAUAGAAUUACAAUCAAACUUCGACUUACAGGUAAGUCUCGUUUAAUUUCCAAUUCUAUUACGUCAUUAGCUAUAGUCGUUACGUAGUUGUACGAGAAUUUAGAGCUGGCAUUGCACCAAUAUUAUAUCCGAAGAAUAAACAGCAAGAAAGAGAAAACACAAUGUACAGUAUAAGGAAAUAUCACAUAAUAAAAUGAUUAUACAAAUAGACCAUGCAAUUGUUUAGGAUAGUGUAUUCAUAAUAGCACUACCAAAGUUAAAUUCAUUGUUAUCUUUGAAAUGGUAAAAACGUUUGAAAGUCUCUUCUUUUGACCAUCCAGCUGCAUUCAAGAUAUCUUUAAGGUCAAAUUGUUGGGAUGCUAAAUGAGAUGUUGAUGCUGCUCUAGUACUAUGACUCUUAUAUUGUGUAGUAUCAACACCAGCAGUUGUCAUGAAGUUUUUUAUCCAGUGCGAGAUUGUUUCCGUUGAGAUGGGUUUGUAAGGUUUCACAAAACUAAUAAGAAGCUGCUUGUUGUCACCACGAACGGGUGAUGUUCGUUUUAAAUAUUCCUGUAAAUAUGUUAGGAUACACAAUUUUUGAUCAGCAACAUAACCAUUUACAAGGGAAUUUACCAUCAUUCGUCCAAAAAAUUAUAAAAAGUCGCUGUUAUGUGGACUUAUCUCGCAGACUUCGGCUGAAAAGCCACCCAUGCAAAAAUGGCGGCGUGAGAAAGGCUAAUUUCGAUCUUCAUUGUGGAAAUGGUCACUACUACCUUUGCCAUAAACAGUAUUCACUACCACCUUUGCCAUAAAACUUUGACCCGACAAAAUGUUAAAAACAGCUAAAUGUGAGUUUAAAUGGGGGGUUUGUAUGAAAUUCAGGUGGCUUUGCCCCACUAUCAGAAAG